rnacentral:rRNA from 1 species
AUAAACGACUUUAUUUCUUUUUUCUGUCUCCUUCUUUUUUUUUUUUUCUUACGAGAAAGAACCAACAGGGAUUGCCUAGUAACGGCGAGUGAAGCGGCAACAGCUCAAAUUUGAAAUCUGGCUCUUUUAGAGUCCGAGUUGUAAUUUGCAGAGGGCGCUUUGGCUUUGGCAGCGGUCCAAGUUCCUUGGAACAGGACGUCACAGAGGGUGAGAAUCCCGUACGUGGUCGCUGGCUAUUGCCGUGUAAAGCCCCUUCGACGAGUCGAGUUGUUUGGGAAUGCAGCUCUAAAUGGGAGGUACAUUUCUUCUAAAGCUAAAUAUUGGCCAGAGACCGAUAGCGCACAAGUAGAGUGAUCGAAAGAUGAAAAGCACUUUGGAAAGAGAGUCAAACAGCACGUGAAAUUGUUGAAAGGGAAGCGCUUGCAGCCAGACUUGCUUACAGUUGCUCAUCCGGGUUUCUACCCGGUGCACUCUUCUGUAGGCAGGCCAGCAUCAGUUUGGGCGGUAGGAUAAAGGUCUCUGUCACGUACCUCCUUUCGGGGAGGCCUUAUAGGGGAGACGACAUACUACCAGCCUGGACUGAGGUCCGCGCAUCUGCUAGGAUGCUGGCGUAAUGGCUGUAAGCGGCCCGUCUUGAAACACGGACCAAGGAGUCUAACAUCUAUGCGAGUGUUUGGGUGUCAAGCCCGAGCGCGUAAUGAAAGUGAACGGAGGUGGGAACCCGCAAGGGUGCACCAUCGACCGAUCCUGAUGUCUUCGGAAGGAUUUGAGUAAGAGCAUGGCUGUUGGGACCCGAAAGAUGGUGAACUAUGCUUGAAUAGGGUGAAGCCAGAGGAAACUCUGGUGGAGGCUCGCAGCGGUUCUGACGUGCAAAUCGAUCGUCAAAUUUGGGCAUAGGGGCGAAAGACUAAUCGAACAUCUAUACUGGUCCGAAGGCC